UCCGCCUGUAGCUUCCGCGUACUUCACACACAGGACCCCGGCAGAUUUUUGGCGGCUUGAAAUGUUGCCUGUCUUUAAUUCGUCGUCACGGUCUAGCGUCAAUUCAGCUACUGUGAACCAUAAAUAUAAUAAUGGAAGCUGGUCAGAGGCAAACAGGACUUAUCGUUAUUGUUCUCUUUCGAGAUUUCAGGUAAAACAUUAGAACAAAACUGGAACAUCUGUAGAGCUCAGAGUGACCAGAGUUGUAGGAGAAACCCUGUGUGUGCACAGGGAGAACACCAAACCUCAAAUUUCUUGGAGUACUCUGUGUUCUCGGAGGUCUGAGAGCGCCAGAAUUGACUGGACAAAACCUACGUGUGCACAAGAAGAGCUUAAAAUCUCCAACUGCUUGGAGCCUUGGAGAGUUUUUUGGAUUUGUAAUGGGAGAAAACCCAAGCAAGCGCAGGGAAAACUGUACGUACUUGGAGGACUGGGAGUACUGACCUCGGUGUAACCGGAACGACCUGGGACAACACAUACAUAUGCAUGAGGAACCUAAAAUCAGCAGAUACUUGGAGGAUCUAGAGCACUGAGUGUUGUCAGAGAAAACCUACACUCUACAUCUGUUUAGGGUAGUGAGAGUUCUUGGAGUACCCAGAGAAAACUCAAACAGGGACCUGGAGACAAAUCAAAACUCCAGUUACUCUGAGAACUUUGUUUUCUUGAAGUAACCUGAUUAUCGUAGUACCUGGAAAUAACCUACGCAUGCACAGCGAGAACUUCAAACAUCCAGAUAUUUGGAGUACUCAAAGUAGUUCAAGUUCCUUUGUUAACUAACUGACUACUGAAAGGUUUGGGAGUGACUGUGGAAAACCCACAUCUGCACAGGAAGAAAAGUAAACCCACAAAAAAUCAUUCCAGUCAAUAUUGUGGCCAGCCACCUUUAUUGAUAAUUGAAUGUUUAAUUUGCAGCCCUGCUGUAAAGUAUUAUUUUUCUUUUGUUUUGUUUUAUUUAUUGCUGCUUAAACGAAGAAAUGAUAGGAAAGUAGCAUGGAGUUUACCAACUAAAACAGGUGUUUUGUCAAAAUGUUGUGGAAUUAUUAUUAUUCAAACCAUUUAUUCCAGAAAAUGGCCAAACAAAAGCAUUCAUUGAAGACUUUCAUGUUUUGUCAGACUUUGAUGAUUCAUUUUCAAUCUUGCUACAUUCACACUUUAUUGUAGCCUCUAGCAGUUUGGCAAAACGUGUAUGUUGUAUUACUUUUAGUUAUUUCUACUGUUAAUGCUGGCAAGAUUUCUCUGGAUUACAUAGAACAGCUGUUUAGUCGUGAUGGUGUGAGAAGGUGGGAGAAACUAAACAUACACGGCCGUAAUUAUAAGUACAAAAUGAAGCUCUACAUUUCAGAGGUGCAGGAGGACAGCAUUUUUCUCGAGAAUGAAACCCUAAACAUGACUGGAAUCUCUUUUACUUUGAGCUGUAAGUUUUCCAAAGAAUAUGAGACAGAGAUAAUCAAGGUUUGCUGCCACAGGUCAUGAUGCCAUCUUUGCGAGCUGCAGAGAUGAGUAUCUGCGGUGCUCUGGCCAAAUGUUUUCUUAGAAGCAAGUCAAACAACAAUCCAGACACCAGUCAAGUUUUUCCAGAAUGGUGAAUGUCCAUGGCAAGCUCCCUGGAUUGUGUUUGUAGUUUUGUGUAAUCAAAUGUCAGGUGCAAAUUAGUCUCCUCUUUACAUUAAUGCCGGCAGCUAGGCAGCUGUCACACACAACAAACAACUUAACGGUUCAGAUAUUUCCAGAUGAAUGGGGUGCUAAAACAUAUCUGCUGAUCCGCACACUAAUUCAAUGUGUUAUGAAUAUGGUCACAUGAUUAAUGCUCCCAUCUAUGUUUGAUGAUGAAGCAAAACAAAAAAAUAUAUGUAUUUUCAAAAUAACUAUCCUGAAUAAACCUCUUUUUUCUUCAAUUAACCGUAAGAAACAACAGAUCAAUAAAGUAAAUCACACCCUG